GAGAGGCCGCGGGUCCACGAGAAGGAACCACAUGCCCACUGGGGCACGGGCACCAGCUAUGCCCACUGGGGCACGGGCACCAGCUAGGACUCAGCCCUGUCCCAGCGGAUGGCAGCUGAGACGACAGAGAGACGCCCAGGUUUACAACUCAAGUCAUCGUGGGCUUUCUGCUCCUGCCUUCCCACGUGGCCACCGUGCUUAUCCCCAGGCUCCUGCGGGAACAAGAGGCUGCUCUCAGUGGCUUGCUGCUGUCCUCCUUAGAAGAAAGCCUUCCAUCCCAGGGACACAGCGGUGGCAAGCAAAGAGAGAGCCUGGGAGACCUUGGGAAGAGGAUUUUGGUCCCAGAAGCCGGUGGGGGUAGAGGCGCCCCUCCUCGGGCUCACUCAGGCCCUCAUUAUGCUUCCUGGCCCCGAGAAUGACUGGCACACGCUCCCCUGCAGGCUACUCCGGGGCGGGGAGGCAGGAGGCCAAGUCCUGGACGCUUUACCUCGGCCAGUCUGAUUCCAGGACACAUGACUUGUUUGAUUGUUGGACCUACGGACGAGGGCAAGCAGGGGAGGGGGGUCAGAACCAGUCACCCCUCCUCCUCUGACCAGUCAGAUGGGCCCAAGGUCCAGGCUCAGGUGUCCAGUGUGUUCUGUGUAGCGGCUGAACCACGCCCACUCUCAAGGCGUCUUCAUUACUAAAGAGCUCGCCUUUGCUUUCAAAAACUCGACCAAAUUAAAGCUCGGGCCUGAGCGAGUUUGGGGGGGUAGGGAGUGUCCAGCUGACCCCCACCCCCCAGCCAUGGGGAACUUCACAUGGAUUAUGAAGCUUCCCCUCGAAGUCACUGAGAACGGCCUUGUGGGGCCGGGGAGGCUGUGUGUGACGGGUGACGAGCGACAGGCCUUGAGACGGAGAUGAUUGCGACCCGACACCUACAACAGACCAGACACAGAGGAGGAACCGGAAGUCCAGGGGCGCCCAACCGGAAGGGGCGGGGCCGCCGCCUGGAGACUUGGGAAGGCCUGUGGGUGCGCUUGGCCUAGGCUGGCGUGCGGGGCUCCAGGCAGUGACCUGUCCCAGCCGGCCUGCUCGUGGAUGAGACCUCCAGGACCCAGCUUGCAGGCCCCAGGAGCCCGCUGUCCGCGUGGGAAAGUCCUCGACCAGAUGACCUAAUGACGGAUUCUGCAGAAGUGAAACCGUCCUUCGGUGGGAGGCGACAAGGGCCCUGGGACAGAGCCCACACAGGAGCCCUCCGCGUCCAGCCGCCGCUGUCUGAGCGAUGCUGGAGGAGCCUCUGGGCCUCCCUGAGCCCCACGUGCCCGGCUCAGCUGCAGGCAAAAAAUAUUAGAGCUGAUCCCAAGUUGCUUCAAAUGUGAAACAAGCCAAGUCAGAAAAAGAGCAGUUGGGCGAGAGAGACGUCGCUGGUUCAGACCAGGAAGAAGUUUACGGUCGACAGGCAGCUUGCCAGAACUCCCAACCGCGUCACAGCGUCAUGAAACGGCCACAUCGACGCAAUUCGGCUCGGUGCGGGCUUGGCCGUCAGCAAUAGGCAGGACGAUCCCUGAUCUCGAAGGACAAAGUCUGCGAGUAAGCAUCAGAGAACAAAAGUGCUCGUCUAGAUUUGCGAUCAAGAUGUUUUGGCUGCAGUUACAAAGGUUGCAGCACGGUGGAGCUUCGGGUUAGUGCAGUUCACAAGGUGCUUUCCUGUCCCCCCAGAAGUCAUGAGGGAAAAGUUUCACUUCCCACCCAGCAGAGAGGGCGGCUGCCCCUCCUGUUCUGCUCAGGAUACAGCAAUUGGGUGCCUUUUCAACAGGCAGGCUUGCAAAAAGAGCAGAAGCUUUGUUAUCUGCAGACAGACACAGCUUCAUUUUCACCUUUUCGCACUGAAAUCAUUUCAGAUCCCGGGAAUGUUGUGCAGACAGCUCAGAGGACCCCGAGCCCCCCACGGCUUCCCCAGACCCGCAUGUCUGGAAACCAGGGGAGGAGGGUUGGUAACGCCGCUAAAGGAACUGCAGGUCCGUCUGGGUUCCAGGUGUCCUUCCAGGUGUGCUGGGGGCUCCCCUGCCUGUCUUCCAUGGGCAGUGAGUGAGGAGACACACACAGCCCACGGCAGGGUCUGCGGGGAGCGGGACUGGGCCAAAGACUUGCCUCGCUGGGAGGAGGAGCAUUUUGAUCUACUCCCAUCAUGUGAGCGACCACAGACCCCAGAGGAUGGGACCCCUAGGGUGAAGGGGGAUCACGCACAGCCUUGGCCGCUCAGUCAGUGGAGGACUGACUCUGAAAGGAGGCUUAAAAUGUCCUCACAAAAAGAAAAGGAAAAGAGGGACUUCCCUGCUGGUCCCGUGGUUUGGAAUCCACCUUGCAAACCUUGCAGUGCAGGGGACGCAGGUUCUAUCCCUGGUCAGAGAACUGAGGUGCCCUGUGCUGCAGAGCAACUAAGGCCCAGAGCCGCAACCACCGAGCCCCCGCGCUCUGGAGCCGGCACGCCCCUGCAGGGUCCAUGCGUCACAAGUACUGAGUCCACGCGCUCCGGAGCCGGCGCGCCCCUGCAGGGUCCGUGCACCACAACCACCCAGCCGGCGCGCCCCUGCAGGGUCCGUGCGUCACAAGUACUGAGUCCACGCGCUCCGGAGCCGGCGCGCCCCUAGAGGGUCCGUGCGUCACAACCGAAGACCCUGCAGGACACAAGGAAGACGUUGUGUGCAGGAACUAAGACCCGACGGUCAAAUAAAUAAUUGAAAAGAAAUACCUCACGUCUUUUUUAAAGGCUUAUAAUUAUAGAU
ensembl:lncRNA